UCUGUGUCCGUUUGUUAGUGUGUCCGUUUCACUCAGCCUGCUGUGUCCGUUUAUUACUGUGCGCAUCUAGGACGCUCCCUUUCUAAUUCCCAAUGUUCAAACGUUAAGUAAUUUCUAAAUUCUUUUAUCAAUGCCUCACAUAAUUCUUCAAAAUUUGUUAUUGUGUAUACGGAUCUAACUAACGCGACAUCGCUCGUUAAUUUUGUUUGAAGGAUCGCUCUAAAAAAAAUAAUCUUUUUUUUGGCUCUACUAAUUCUAAAACUCUUUUACAAUCGGAUGUAAAUUGGUAAACCGGAAUAUUUUUACCAUUAAAGAUUGGCAAGAGAUUUAAGCUAUGGCGAACAGAAAAAUAACUAUUACCUGUCGAAAUCGAGGAUCUUCAACUUUGUUGGUCCUUAUUUAAGUGACUUUCGCUGUGAAGGUUUAUCGGUGCCGACGCUUGGUUGUUCAUGAUUAACGUUAAGGAUAUGUGAUCGGAUUCAAAAUUGUCUACUAAACUAUUUUCGCCCGAACUAUCUGAAUUAUAAUGUACGCUAGGACUUCGGUAAUUCAUAAAGAUUUACAAUAGUAGUACAAUAUAUAACAUUGUCCGUAUGGUGUUUUGAUGUUGGUCCAGGAUGUUGUCCGAUGAUUUGAUGAGCCUUUUUACGUGCUAGCUGUCCACGGAGUCUCGUCGCCGUCGUCUCAAGAAGAUGCUGGAUACCUCGUGCUUUUCCUCCCACUUUUCGGCUUUCGUGCUGCUCCGACGUUUCAGCUCCUCUACUUUUUUCCUCGGAUGCUGGACCGUAGUCCGCCAGGAGGUUUUAUCAGUGAGACCAAAUUGUCGAAUUAUGCAGAUUAUAGCCAAUUGUCAAGGAUCGUCUUUUACCACAGUAUUUGUGAGGUUUUCUCGACUUAAUCCUUUGUGUUUUGUGUGUCCUUAGUUUGCGCCUUCCUGGAACUUUUAUGCUUGCAUGAGCAAUAAAACAAAAUGCUGAUGGAGGCCUUUCUUCAGGACAACUGGUUAACCGCUGCCACCAAUUGUUACGUGUGAGAUGCACGUAAUGUGAGAGAUGGAUCGCACUGGUAUUUUAAAGUGUUUAUUCUAACGUUUUACAGACUUUUGUCUAACUUCUAGUGGUUUAGUACAGAGACUGACUCUAAUCAUCGAGAGGGAUCCUUAUAUUAAAGUCGGAAUAAGUUAGCAUCGCCCAAUCAUAGGAAGUGCUUGUAAAGCGGAAAUAGCUACUGGUUGAUUUCUUAAAAAGAAGAAAAUUUGAUAAUUGAUAUCUAUGUCAUAAAGAAUAGUUUGGGUGGGAUGCAGGAUGUUUACAGGACGAGGAAACAGACAAAUAUUAAGUUUAAAAAGACCGUAGAUAGAAAAGGUUAUCAAUAAGUAAGAAUCUGGUAUGAUAUAUCGGGAUAGUUUUAAGACAUAGUUUGUACAGGGUGAUUAGAUAGAAAUAGUUUAAAGAAGAGAAUUUUUAACGUGUCUAGGCACGUAACAGACCGCUAUUUGACUAGCAUCAGCGCCAAACGUGGAUGUAAAGUUCGUUCUACAUUAAUCGUAGUCGCCAGUUGCAAUUUGCAACACCUAAUGACUGUCAAGCUUUAACUAGAAACUAAGCGCUUUGGAUGUCGCAAGUUGCAACUGGCUGUUUGCGAUUAAUGUAAAACGGGUUUUACAUCCACGUUUGGCGCUAGACAAAUAUCGGUCACACGAAAAAAGCCGCAGUGGCCACUCUCAAGUUCCUCUCUGGUUUUGUCUGUUCUGGGUCUACUCGGAGCAAACCCAAGCAGACCAAUGCACUCUAAUAGCGUUUUUGAUUUGUUGACUCAACCCGACUCCGGGUCAGUGGUCUGUUCCUUUUAUCUUCAUUUCUUGCACAGUUUAUCACUUUUUUGCAGUGAAAAAGAACAAACCAUUGACUCGGAGUCGAGUCGAGUCAGCAAAUCGAAAACGCUAUAAUAAGUUGAUUCCGAUGACGCCAACUUAUUAGAGUGCGUUGGUCUGCUUGGGUUUGCUCCGAGUAGACCCAGAACAGACAAAACGAACAAUACUUAUGUUGUUACAGGAGCCAUAAGGCCAUAGAGCUUGUAUUAAUGGAGGGGGCUUGGUGCAUCGCGACGCGCGCGGGGAGAAUCGACAGAGAGUUUGGAGGAGCAAUAAAGUAAGAUAACUCUGGGAAUAUCUUGGUUUCGAAGGAUAUGUUAAAUGCAUUGCUUUGUUUUCUAGCUGCUGGAUCAAUAAUUGCAUCAUCAAAAAUAGUAAGUAAGAGCAAUAAAGUAAAGAUAACUCUGGGAAUAUCUUGGUUUCGAAGGAUAUGUUAAAUGCAUUGCUUUGUUUUCUAGCUGCUGGAUCAAUAAUUGCAUCAUCAAAAAUUCUUAUAAAUCAUUUAAAAAAAAAAGAGAAUGUAGAAAAUUUAAAAAUUAAAAUAAAAUUAUUUUAUAAAUAUGAGUAUUAAUAUUAUACAUUUAUGCUAACGGAUACCGAAGUUUGGAGGAGCAAUAAGGAAAACUCAGGGAAUAUCUUGGUUUCGAAUGAUAUAUUGAAUGCAUUGCUUUGUCUUCUGGCUGCUGGAUCAAUAAUUGCAUCAUCAAAAAUUCUUAUAAAUUAUUUGAAAGAAAAGA